GGCCUGGCUGGCCGGUCCGCCUCACCGCGUGCACUGGUCCGGCCGGGCCUUUCCUUCUGGCUAGCCGCAUGCUCUUCACUGAGUGUGUCGGGGAACCAGGACUUUUACUUUGAAAAAAUUAGAGUGUUUAAAGCAGGCUUACGCUUGAAUACAUUAGCAUGGAAUAAUAGAAUAGGACUU
rnacentral:rRNA from 1 species